rnacentral:rRNA from 1 species
AACGAACGCUGGCGGCAUGCCUAACACAUGCAAGUCGAACGAGACCUUCGGGUCUAGUGGCGCACGGGUGCGUAACGCGUGGGAACCUGCCCUUAGGUUCGGAAUAACUCCCCGAAAGGGGUGCUAAUACCGGAUAAUGUCUUCGGACCAAAGAUUUAUCGCAUUUGGAUGGGCCCGCGUUGGAUUAGCUAGUUGGUAGGGUAAAAGCCUACCAAGGCGACGAUCCAUAGCUGGUCUGAGAGGAUGAUCAGCCACACUGGGACUGAGACACGGCCCAGACUCCUACGGGAGGCAGCAGUAGGGAAUAUUGGACAAUGGGCUAAAGCCUGAUCCAGCAAUGCCGCGUGAGUGAUGAAGGCCUUAGGGUUGUAAAGCUCUUUUACCCGGGAUGAUAAUGACAGUACCGGGAGAAUAAGCUCCGGCUAACUCCGUG